CAUUGCUUAAAGUUUUGUUUACGGAAAAGUAAUCUAGACUUUGAUGCCUGUACUCAUACUUGUGAACCAGAGCACACCCACCUUUGGUCGGUCCAGUACGACUUCUACCAUGGUGGUUUUGAAGCCAGAAUUCAUUGUGCCAUCGAUUUCUUCUCAUACACUUUUCAAACCCUGGGUUUAUUCACGCCAUUACAGCUCCGAUUAACCUUCACUGUUCCGAUCAUCGUCUCCAACUAAUGGAUGCAUCUGCAUCUGCAACAUCUUCAUCAAACUCGCGUAGAUACCCUCUUUGUUACUUCUGUUGCAAUUGUAUCAAACGGUGUUUCCGUUGUUUGUGCUCUUACGCUUAGGGUUAAAGAUUAGCUACUGCGGAUUAGCUACUGAAUGAUUGGCUCAUUUAUGUAUAUUUAGGGUGAUUUGGGCUACCGAGCGCUUUUUGCGGUCGCGGGCGGUGAGGUGACCUUUGGCCAUUGGGUUAACCAGGUAGCCGGGAAUUUAUUCAUUAACAUGGAGUGCUUUUAUGUAUUCAUAAAUUGCUAGAAGUAUGUUCGUUCUUAAAGUUAAUAAUGUUGUUGAUGCUUGGAUUGCUUUUUAAUGCAAUCUACAUGUAUCUACACUUUGAUUUCCACAUUACACAAUCACUAUACCCUUUGUAAUUCUAAUUGUAUUUUUUCACAACUACAAUUACAUGCAGAUGUAUAUGAAGGGGUAUGUCUCGAUGGUUUAUAGUGAUUACUUGAAGAAAAUGGUCGAGUAACACUCUGUUGUUACAGUCUGUUGUGCUUCAUCGGAGCAACAAAUCAUAGUACCCGUCGCAACGUGGCGGGGUGCUACUUCUAGUUAUUCUAUCACUCACAACCUUUUUUAGUGAAAAUGAUCAUCACUCACAACACCCAGCAAUACCCAUCACGCACAACACUCAACAACGCCCAACAAUACCAUCACUCACAAUA
rnacentral:lncRNA from 1 species